GAGAUUAUUUUUCAGCGAUGCGCCGAGGUUCUUGUCGAGGAAUUGCUUGAAGUGUACGCAUAAAAGCGCGAAACGGACAAAAUCGAAAGUCGUCUCGCGUCUGAUUUUUCUUCGGACCGCCGAACGUGUCAAAAUGCCUCUAAAGUGAUUUGACGUAAAAAAAAAUUCUCCGUUUGAUUUGAACGUAUAAGAGAUAAAUUCAAGAGUUGUAUUACGAAAGAGAGUUUACCGUCACUUUCGUCCCGUGUAUCUUCCGCGAGUCGAGUAUUACCCGUUAAUUCGGGUUCGCGAUUGAACAAAUUCUUACGAAAGAUGUUACGUCUGUCGAGAGGACUCCGGUGUCAAGGAGUCCGUCUGUUCGCGCCGCGGGACGGGAGGAAGAGUUGCGUCACACAAUUUCCCGGCGGCGGCGACGACGACGGGAAGGCCAGCUUCGGAACCGAGGAACGGCACGUACUGACGGUUGGAACUAAUCGAGGGGUCAACUACUACUUUAAAAAAAUGUGAGCAGGACGAGAGGGGUACCCAGCACGAGCAUGAAUCUAAAGGAAGCCCUCUGCGAGAAGAUUCCCGUGCACCACGAUCUUCUGAGAAACUUUCGAUUUCACUUCGGUCCGAGCGUCGUUAGUCAGAUCACGGUCGAGGACCUGUACGCGGGACUAAGCGACGUGAAAACCAUCGUCAAGGAAACCUCGGAACUUCAUCCUAAACAUGGCGUAAUAAUCGCAGAAUGAAUCGUUCAAUUCACCUAUCGUAGCUAUUUAUGUCGCAUAA